rnacentral:rRNA from 1 species
UACAGAGACCUCAAGCGUUAUCCGGAAUCAUUGGGCGUAAAGCGUACCGAUAUGUGGCUUACAAAGUCAGAAGUGAAAUCCUAAGGCUUAACCUUGGGAAUGUCUUUUGAAACUUGUAAGCUAGAGGGGCAAAGAGGAAGCUGGAACGAACGGUGUAGUAGUGAAAUGCGUUGAUAUCGUUCGGAACACCAAUAGCGUAGGCAGGCUUCUGGGUGCCACCUGACACUGCUAGGACGAGAGCGUGGGGAGCGAAUGGG